UACUGAGCGUUGGGUGUCAGC
rnacentral:siRNA from 1 species